rnacentral:misc_RNA from 1 species
GAUGAAGAACGCAGCGAAAUGCGAUAUGUAAUGUGAAUUGCAGAAUUCAGUGAAUCAUCGAAUCUUUGAACGCACAUUGCGCCCGCCAGUAUUCUGGCGGGCAUGCCUGUUCGAGCGUCAUUUCAACCAUCAAGCCCCAGGCUUGUGUUGGGGACCUGCGGCUGCCGCAGGCCCUGAAAACCAGUGGCGGGCUCGCUGUCACACCGGGCGUAGUAGAUUUUAUCUCGCUCAGGGCGUGCUGCGGGUUCCGGCCGUUAAAAAGCCUUUUUUACCCAAGGUUGACCUCGGAUCAGGUAGGAAGACCCGCUGAACUUAAGCAUAUCAAUAAGCGGAGGA